UAAAGGCCUACCAAGGCGAAGACGGGUAGGGGGUGUGAGAGCACGGCCCCCACAAUGGGACUGAAACACGGCCCAUACUCCUACGGGAGGCAGCAGCAGGGAAUAUUGCACAAUAGGCGAAAGCCUGAUGCAGCGACGCCGCGUGAGUGAAGAAGGCCUUCGGGUCGUAAAGCUCUUUUGUAGGGGAAGAGGAAGGACGGUACCCUAAGAAGAAGCGUCGGCUAACUACGUGCCAGCAGCCGCGGUAAGACGUAGGACGCGAGCGUUAUCCGGAAUUACUGGGCGUAAAGGGCCAGCAGGCGGCUUGGUAAGUUGUGCGUGAAAGCCUCGUGCUCAACGCGAGGAAGCCGGACAAUACUGUCAAGCUAGAGGGCAUCAGAGGGGAGUGGAAUUCCCGGAGUAGCGGUAAAAUGCGCAGAUAUCGGGAGGAACACCGAUGGCGAAGGCAGCUCCCUGGGAUGCACCUGACGCUAAGAGGCGAAAGCUAGGGGAGCGAACAGGAUUAGAGACCCUGGUAGUCCUAGCUGUAAACGCUGGGUGCUAGGUGUGGGACGUAGAAGUUCCGUGCCGGAGCAAACGCGAUAAGCACCCCGCCUGGGAAUUACGGUCGCAAGGCUAAAACUCAAACGAAUUGACGGGGCCCCGCACAAGCAGCGGAGCGUGUGGUUCAAUUCGAUGCUACACGAAGAACCUUACCUGGGUUUGACAUGUACGUGGUACGAAGGCGAAAGCCUAAGGACCCUUCGGGGAGCGUACACAGGUGCUGCAUGGCUGUCGUCAGCUCGUGCCGUGAGGUGUCGGGUUAAGUCCCGUAACGAGCGCAACCCUUGCCCUUAGUUACAAGUGUCUAAGGGGACUGCCGGCGGGAAGCCAGAGGAAGGUGGGGAUGACGUCAAGUCAGCAUGGCCCUUAUGUCCAGGGCUACACACACGCUACAAUGGUCAGUACAAAGGGUAGCGAAGUCGCGAGGCGGAGCGAAUCUCAA
rnacentral:rRNA from 1 species